CUAUAUUAAAAUCAAUGAGCACUAUUGGUAGAAGCACUUAUAUAAGGAUGUCAAGGAAUUUGUAAGUACGUGUAAAGAGUGCCAAUUACAAUGCAAGAUGAGAUAUAGAAAUGGUUUAUUCCUAUCUAUCUAUUUGCCAUUUAUUUUCAAUAAAUGAUUGAUUUGGUUGUUGUACUAAUAUGGUUUUGGAGCAUGAAGUAUUUAUAUUUGGCAAAAAAAGAAUUUUCUAAUUAUGUAGAAGAAAGGACAUUGAGAUCAAAGUCUAUAGAGGUGGUAUGUUGGUUUAUUUUGGAAGAUAUUAUAUAUUGCUAUGAGAGCAUUGAAAUAAUGAGAAUAAAUUGGGAUGAGCUUUAUAUAAUAGAAGUAUAUGAUUUCUUCACAAGAUAUGAGGUAUAAUUAAAAUUGACUGCUUCUUACAAUCCUAAAACCAAUAGUAAGAAUAAAAAGAAGCACCUUUCAAUCAUUUAAGCUUUGGUCAAGGCAUAUAGAAGUCAAUCAAGGUUGGGGCCU
rnacentral:lncRNA from 1 species